GAAAAAUCCACCCACCAAAAAAAUCUCCCCUAAUCCUUGCCCUUUCUCCUUCAGAUGGAUUCCUUCAAUACCUCUUUAACCCCAAAUGUCCACCGCCACCACCGCUACUCCUCCCUCCACUUACCUCACCAAUCUCGGUCUUGGCUACUCAAUAGCCAUAGCCCUUGGUUUCCUCGUCCUCUUAUCCACUAUCCUCCUUGCCUUCUACGUCUGCUGUCGCAACUCUCGCAACCGCUCCCGCAAUAUAAACAAUAACGACAACGACAACCCAAAUUUUCCCUCCGAUGGCAUAAUUCUCCCUCGCAUUAUCUU
rnacentral:misc_RNA from 1 species